rnacentral:rRNA from 1 species
GUGCACCAGGCGAGAAACUUUACAAUGUGCGAAGCACGAUAAGGGAACUCUGAGUGCCUCCUAAGGAGGCUGUUCAGGUGUCUAAAAGCACCUGGAGUAAGGGCUGGGUAAGACCGGUGCCAGCCGCCGCGGUAACACCGGCAGCCCAGGUGGUAGCCACUUUUAUUGGGUCUAAAGCGUCCGUAGCCGGUUGAGUAAGUUCCUUGGGAAAUUUGGCUGCUCAACAGUCAAGCUUCCAGGGAAUACUGCUCGACUUGGGACUGGGAGAGGUCAGAGGUACUCCAGGGGUAGGGUGAAAUCCAUUAAUCCCUGGGGGACCACCGGUAGCGAAGGCGUCUGACCAGACCAGGUCCGACGGUGAGGGACGAAGGCUAGGGGCGCGAACCGGAUUAGAUACCCCGGUA